rnacentral:misc_RNA from 1 species
GAUGAAGAACGUAGUGAAAUGCGAUACGUAAUGUGAAUUGCAGAUUUCAGUGAAUCAUCGAAUCUUUGAACGCACAUUGCGCCCGCUAGUAUUCUGGCGGGCAUGCCUGUUCGAGCGUCAUUUCAACCAUCAAGCCCUGUGCUUGUGUUGGAGCCCUGCGGCUGCCGCAGGCUCCCAAACCCAGUGGCGGGCUCGUCGUCGUACCGAGUGCAGUAAACAUACCACGCUCAGGGCACGCGACGGGUGACCGGCCGUAAAACCCCCCCCUUCUCAAGGUUGACCUCGGAUCAGGUAGGAAUACCCGCUGAACUUAAGCAUAUCAAUAAGCGGAGGA